rnacentral:rRNA from 1 species
GAUUGAACGCUGGCGGCAUGCUUUCCCCAUGCAAGCCGAACGGCAGCGCGGGCUUCGGCCUGGCGGCGAGUGGCGAACGGGUGAGUAAUGCAUCGGAACGUGCCCAGUAGUGGGGGAUAGCCCGGCGAAAGCCGGAUUAAUACCGCAUACGACCUGAGGGUGAAAGCGGGGGACCGAAAGGCCUCGCGCUAUUGGAGCGGCCGAUGUCGGAUUAGCUAGUUGGUGGGGUAAAGGCUUACCAAGGCGACGAUCCGUAGCUGGUCUGAGAGGACGACCAGCCACACUGGGACUGAGACACGGCCCAGACUCCUACGGGAGGCAGCAGUGGGGAAUUUUGGACAAUGGGGGCAACCCUGAUCCAGCCAUGCCGCGUGCGGGAAGAAGGCCUUCGGGUUGUAAACCGCUUUUGUUCGGGAAGAAAUCCUCUGGGCUAAUACCCCGGGGGGAUGACGGUACCGGAAGAAUAAGCACCGGCUAACUACGUG